GUUUACCGUGAAAAAAUUAGAGUGUUCAAAGCGGGCAGAUAUUUUUCCUGCCACCGAAUACAUUAGCAUGGGAUAAUGGAAUAGGACCCUGACCUCCUAUUUUCAGUUGGUUUUGUUUACAGCGAGGUUAUAUCAGGGUAAUGAUUAAUAGGGAUAGUUGGGGGCAUUAAUAUUUAAUUGUCAGAGGUGAAAUUCUUGGAUUUAUGAAAGAUUAACUUCUGCGAAAGCGUUUGCCAAGGAUGUUUUCAUUAAUCAAGAACGAAAGUUAGGGGAUCGAAGACGAUCAGAUACCGUCGUAGUCUUAACCAUAAACGAUGCCGACCAGCGAUUAGGAGACGUUGAAUACAAAACACCGCCGUUAAUCCUUUCGGGGGUUAAUGGUUGGUGAAUGACUCCCCUAGCAGCUUGUGAGA
rnacentral:rRNA from 1 species